rnacentral:lncRNA from 1 species
UAGGGAGGGUCUCCUGUCUGAAAGUCAGGGCGAUGAGUUCAUCAGGAGAGGGAUGCUGACAAAACACACAGGAUUCUAACCGUGCCUUUGCCCGUACGUUUGUAAUACUGAUCUAGGCAGCUUGUUGUUUGAGGCCACAGAUAUUCAGUGCUGUUCACGAGGUAUUUCUGUGGUGCCUGCUCUGGGCGUUAUCCCACGCUUUCAGGCCUGUCUGUAGGAUGCCACUCAAUGUGAGGCAGCUUCAUCUGUGAGGUGUUCUGUGGAGAUCUGAGACCAGCGUGGAAGGAUGCAAGAAAAUGACCCAGUCAAACCUCAAGGUGACAGAUGUUGAGAAUUGUGUGAACGCGUGAGUAACACAAGAAUGCGAGGAAGGCUUCCUGAGCAUCGCCCGCCUUUCCCCUGGGUAUAAGCAGCUCAAGAGAUCUUUGCUUCAAUUAAAACUGUGUUUUCCACUGAAAUUCCUAAUAACCACAGGGCCAAUUGGCAGAGGAGAACAGUGUCAUCUAGCAGAAGUCUUUCUGUGCCCCUCUGGAACUGCAGUUAUGCUCCCAAGAAGUGCCAGGAUUAUCUGCUAAAGAACCAAGCACAGAACAGCAUGAACCACAGGGGAUUGUUGCCAUCAGGCCAGCUGUGAGGGUUCAAGAAAUUACCCUCCACCUCAUUUAAGGUCAGGGCCAACCUGCUGCCCUCAGGACGUACAUAUCUUGUGGAGGUAAGCACACUGUAUAGAGACGAUGGAUAAGUUAGUCUGGGCUCUGAAAGCAUGCAUCCCUGUAUAAAUGUGCCCAUUUAGAUUUACU